GGGCCGGCGCCAGGGCGCGUGCGCGGGCCGCCGCGGGCGGGAGCUCAGUGCGGUGUGUGGCGGCUGCGGGGCGGCGCCUCCCGCUUUUGCUCCGUGGCUCGGCGGCGGCCCGGGCGCUGGGGGCCGGGAGGGCGGCGGCAGCACCCGUUGCCAGUCGAGACAAGAAAAGAGCACUUGCGGGAAGGGGAUGCGCUGGUUCUGCUCAGCGGAGCAUCCGGAGAGGAGGACAGAGUCUGUCAGGAAAAGCCUGAAGCCUUGCCGUAAGGACACGGGACACAUCAAAUGGUGCACAACAUACAGACAGAGCCAUGAAUCCACCUGGUCUUCACUUUCUGACUUCUGAUCUAAUGAAAAUGCUAAACAAGGCAGGAUUUGCUAGGACCUUCCUGAGAGCAUCACAGACCCGAGGCGGACACCUUGGCUGGGCUGGGCCGGAGCCGACGAGCAGGGGGCGAAAACUCCCCAUUUCACGACAAACCUCUGCAGCCGCCCCAUCCAUCCUGUCAGCACAACGUUGGACUCUGCUUCGGGGAGCCCCUUCUCCAUCCUUCUUCAAAGGAAGGUGCGUUUCCUCCUUACCGGGGUUCUGCGAGAAAGAAGAGCUACACUGUAAAAAACCACUGCUAUCACUGCUAGAUAAAAACAACCGUGUUGUUUUAAAGGAAAUAAAGCACAGAACUCAACUGCCAAGUGAACUCCUUGGCGGUCAGCUGGA